rnacentral:rRNA from 1 species
CGGAGGGAUCAUUACCGAGUUUUCAACUCCCAAACCCUUAUGUGAACCUACCUAUCGUUGCUUCGGCGGACUCGCCCCAGCCGGACGCGGACUGGACCAGCGGCCGCCGGGGACCAUCAAACUCUUGUAUUAUCAGCAUCUUCUGAAUACGCCGCAAGGCAAAACAAAUAAAUUAAAACUUUCAACAACGGAUCUCUUGGCUCUGGCAUCGAUGAAGAACGCAGCGAAAUGCGAUAAGUAAUGUGAAUUGCAGAAUCCAGUGAAUCAUCGAAUCUUUGAACGCACAUUGCGCCCGCCAGAUUCUGGCGGGCAUGCCUGUUCGACGUCAUUUCAACCCUCGACCUCCCUUUGGGGAAGUCGGCGUUGGGGACCGGCAGCACACCGCCGGCCCUGAAAUGGAGUGGCGGCCCGUCCGCGGCGACCUCUGCGUAGUAAACCAACUCGCACCGGAACCCCGACGUGGCCACGCCGUAAAACACCCAACUUCUGAACGUUGACCUCGAAUCAGGUAGGAC